rnacentral:rRNA from 1 species
GAUGAACGCUGGCGGCGUGCCUAAUACAUGCCAGUCGAGCGAACGGACGAGAAGCUUGCUUCUCUGAUGUUAGCGGCGGACGGGUGAGUAACACGUGGAUAACCUACCUAUAAGGCUGGGAUAACUUCGGGAAACCGGAUCUAAUACCGGAUGAUAUUUUGAACCGCAUGGUUCAAAAGUGAAAGACGGUCUUGCUGUCACUUAUAGAUGGAUCCGCGCUGCAUUAGCUAGUUGGUAAGGUAACGGCUUACCAAGGCAACGAUGCAUAGCCGACCUGAGAGAGUGAUCGGCAACACUGGAACUGAGACACGGUCCAGACUCCUACGGGAGGCAGCAGUAGGGAAUCUUCCGCAAUGGGCGAAAGCCUGACGGAGCAACGCCGCGUGAGUGAUGAAGGUCUUCGGAUCGUAAAACUCUGUUAUUAGGGAAGAACAUAUGUGUAAGUAACUGUGCACAUCUUGGCGGUACCUAAUCAGAAAGCCACGGCUAACUACGUG